AGCAGCCGCGGUAAUUCCAGCUCCAAUAGCGUAUAUUAAAGUUGUUGCAGUUAAAAAGCUCGUAGUUGAAUUUCGAGACCGGUUUACUGGUCGUGCUUUUGUACGUACUGGUAUUAUUGGUUUCUCCUUUCUGACGAACUAUAAUGCCAUUAAUUUGGUGUUAUAGGGAAUCAGGACUGUUACUUUGAAAAAAUUAGAGUGUUUAAAGCAGGCUCACGCUUGAAUACAUUAGCAUGGAAUAACGGAAUAGGACGUUUGAUUCUAUUUUGUUGGUUUCUAGGAUCGACGUAAUGAUUAAUAGGGAUAGUUGGGGGCAUUAGUAUUCAAUUGUCAGAGGUGAAAUUCUUGGAUUUAUUGAAGACUAACUACUGCGAAAGCAUUUGCCAAGGAUGUUCUCAUUAAUCAAGAACGAAAGUUAGGGGAUCGAAGACGAUCAGAUACCGUCGUAGUCUUAACCAUAAACUAUGCCGACUAGGGAUCGGAUGAUGUUAAUUUUUUAAUGACUCAUUCGGCGCCUUAC
rnacentral:misc_RNA from 1 species